rnacentral:rRNA from 1 species
AACGAACGCUGGCGGCAUGCCUAACACAUGCAAGUCGAACGAGACCUUCGGGUCUAGUGGCGCACGGGGGCGUAACGCGUGGGAACCUGCCCUUAGGUUCGGAAUAACUCCCCGAAAGGGGUGCUAAUACCGGAUAAUUUCUUCGGACCAAAGAUUUAUCGACUUUGGAUGGGCACGCGUUGGAUUAGCUAGUUGGUAGGGUAAAAGCCUACCAAGGCGACGAUCCAUAGCUGGUCUGAGAGGAUGAUCAGCCACACUGGGACUGAGACACGGCCCAGACUCCUACGGGAGGCAGCAGUGGGGAAUAUUGGACAAUGGGCGAAAGCCUGAUCCAGCAAUGCCGCGUGAGUGAUGAAGGCCUUAGGGUUGUAAAGCUCUUUUACCCGGGAUGAUAAUGACAGUACCGGGAGAAUAAGCUCCGGCUAACUCCGUG